rnacentral:rRNA from 1 species
AUGAACGUUGGCGGCGUGGAUUAGGCAUGCAAGUCGUACGGACCAGGGUAGCAAUAUUCUGGUUAGUGGCGAAAGGGAGAGUAACGCGUGGAUUAUCUGCCCCCGGGACCGGGAUAGCUGCGGGAAACUGCAGGUAAUACCGGAUGACGUCUCCGGACCAAAGGUGUGAUUCCGCCAGGGGAUGAGUCCGCGUCCUAUCAGCUUGUUGGCGGGGUAACGGCCCACCAAGGCGAUGACGGGUACGGGGUGUGAGAGCAUGCCCCCGCUCACUGGGACUGAGACACUGCCCAGACACCUACGGGUGGCUGCAGUCGAGGAUCUUCGGCAAUGGGCGCAAGCCUGACCGAGCGACGCCGCGUGCGGGAUGAAGGCCUUCGGGUUGUAAACCGCUGUCAGGGGGGAGGAAGGUCCGGUGCAGAGCCGGGUUUGACCUAUCCCCAGAGGAAGUGUGGGCUAAGUCCGU